rnacentral:rRNA from 1 species
CCUACGGGAGGCAGCAGUGAGGAAUAUUGGUCAAUGGGCGGAAGCCUGAACCAGCCAAGUAGCGUGCGGGAUGAAGGCCCUACGGGUCGUAAACCGCUUUUGCACGGGGAUAACACCCUCCACUUGUGGAGGUCUGCAGGUACCGUGCGACUAAGGGCCGGCUAAUUCCGUGCCAGCAGCCGCGGUAAUACGGAAGUCCCGAGCGUUAUCCGGAUUCAUUGGGCUUAAAGGGAGCGUAGGCGGGCGUUCAAGUCAGCUGUAAAAUCGCGGGGCUCAACCGCGCCCCGCAGUUGAAACUGGACGCAUUGAGUUCACAACAGGCAGGCGGAAUUCGUGGUGUAGCGGUGAAAUGCAUAGAUAUUACGAGGAACCCCGAUUGCGAAGGCAGCCUGCCGGGGUGCGACUGACGCUGAGGCUCGAAGGUGCGGGUAUCAAACAGGAUUAGAUACCCUUGUAGUC